rnacentral:tRNA from 1 species
GGAGGGUGGGCAGGACGGUAAUGCGCUAGUCUUGAAAACUAGUGAGCGCAAGCUCUAACAGGUUCGACCCCUGUACCCUCCGCCA